CCGAAGUCGAUAAAAUCAAAUUCCGCUUUUGUUAUACAUCCAUAUAUACACUUCUUCAACGGCCUUCGUGUUUUAGUUCGUGCUACUAUAAAAGAGGGCGAUAAGUGGUAAGCGAUAGAGAAACAGAAAAUUAACCUAACCUAUAGAUUUAUAUAGAGUAAAUCAUACCGAUAAACGGUGAGUGAUAAUUCAUCGCUCAGCUGUGUGGCUUAUUCCGUAUAAAUCUAUAGGUUUGAUUUAUUUUCUGUCGCUCAACCGUCGCUUGUUUUGCCGCUCUGCCGCUCAACGCUUGCCGCUUAUUGUUUUUCCGUAUAAUCAUAGUCUUAGACACGUAGGAACUACCGGGUACUAAGUACCUAUAAGAUCACCGAAGUCAAGAUACAUUGGGCAUGGUUAGCCCGAAAUGUACUGUUGUUGAGAGAAAGAGAAAGAGAAAAAGAAAAAUUGGAAUUUUUGUUUCUAACGAUAAAGGCAAAAAACUGAACAUUAGAGGCACGCGCUAUAAAAUCUCGGAUUUUUAUGGAAGAUAUAUUAGAUACUUUAAAACAGAGUUAAGGAAUAUUUGUGUAUAAACACUGACUAUAAGGAAUCAAAUAGAUGAUCGGAAACAUAGACAGUGGCCUGGAAGUUCCAUCUUAAUUCAGACCUAGUCUUAGUUUUAAAGAAAUGGGAAGAAACGAGACCUAAAAAUUCUAAGAGACAUACGUAUAUUCAAAAUUCGUCAGCGAAAGUUCCCCUUUGAGAGAGAGAAUCAUUUAUGAUUCAGUUUCAGUAUGUUACAAGACAGUUUCAAUAUGUAUCAACAUAAACAAAAAAAAAAAAAAAAAAAAAAAAAAAAAAAAAAAAAAAAAAAAAAAAAAAAAAAAAAAAAAAUGAAAAGAA